UGCUAAUUUAGAAACAUUUUCCGGCGGGGGGGUUAGACCUGUCCAUGAUUAUAAGCAAGCUUGUCAAAUUGGGUCAGCUGGGCCGUAUGAGAUUUUUACUUCGACACACCCAUUACCAUUUAUUUAGGAAUUGUAUCGCCUUGUAGUCUGUAGGGUUUGCAAACCACCCCAAACGCUUUGGACGUAGCUGAUUUUAUGUUUAUAAUGGGAUAUGGAUUUACCGUAUGAUUGCUCGCCUGAGCGAGACGCCAGAUGCAGCAUGAACGUGGACUGUCUGGGUUUCCCAGAUGACUGAGUUGGGAAAACACUGCUCUAGGGUGCCCUUCCAAGUGCCCCUGCAAUGGAGAGAAAAAAAACAUAGCAGGUGGCCCUCAGAGAAAAGACAUUGAUUGGCAAAGGUUAAUGAUGCUGACCAAUCUGCUACAGAGGACUGCCAAGCCCAAAUCCUGGAGGAGCAGCUGCACUGGGGGUUCAUGCGGAAUGAUGACACCCCAACUUGGUCAGUCCUCUCAGGUUGUCACUGCCUUACUGUGUAAAGUCAUUGAAAAGUCAGGGCAACACUCGUGUCAUAUAUGUCAGGCAUGUAUGCCAAUUUAAUGAUGCAGAGGAAGAAAAUGUUUGUGAGGAAAUAAGACUAUCUGCUCUUCUGCUGCCGUCAAGAGGGGGACACCCCGAAUGUUCACAGGGGGGGGUCACUGACACUUCAAGGCAUGGCCCUCAAUAUACUACCCCUCAUCUCCUUUCCCCACUAACCUCCCAAAUACAUUUGUGUGUGCGCAUGUGCUUUUGUGAAAUGACUGUUCCAAAUGGUAAUUCUCCCCUGUGUGUGUGUAAAUACUUGAGAUUUUAAUUAAGCAUUCAAGUUUAUAGCUCCCUGUGUGACUUUGUAACAGAAGUGUAGUUAUACUUUGUCAGCAAAUGAAAUUCUUAAUGGAGUUAAACACUACUUCACCACACAUACCGUACCAUUCUCCUCACACCAGCAGAGGGAUGCCUUCGUCAUUUAUUUUUCCGCUGCCCUCCAAACAGCCCGCGUCCAUCAGUGUGUGAAUGUCGCGUAACCUCUUAUUUUCAACAACACAGUGCAGAUGCAAGUCUUUGCAAAUAAAACAGGCAGUGAAUAUCGUUAUCCAUUUAGCUCGGUCACGACUGCUUGGAAGUACGUUUGAAGUAGUCUCAGGGGUUUAAAUGCCUUGCAUGCAUAGGUGCAUUUUUAAGAUCGUUCAACUAGGGGUGGAGUCAGGAAAGAGCAUGCAGAUGUUACCAGUCAGGGCUGGGUUGGCUAUCUAGAGGGCACCAGGAACAAUUCAUAUACAAAUAUAAAUUAUAAAAUCAAAUCACACUACGGUUUGAAGGAGCAACCUCAACUUUUAUUAUAUUCACAGAGCCUUCAAUACACACAACAGCCCAUAAGUGUUAGGAUUACCAUUUCCCACAAUGAAACUCGUUUUCCCAUCUACUCUACAAAUUGGAAUUGGGCGCCUUCAAGAAUGUCAUUCACAGAUGAUGGAAAUAGCUGCAUAUAAUUUCUACAUGAGUAACAAAAAGGGGGGGGGGGGGGGGG